rnacentral:rRNA from 1 species
UACGGAGGGUGCAAGCGUUGCUCGGAAUCAUUGGGCGUAAAGCGUACGCAGGCUGUUCGUUAAGUCGGGUGUGAAAGCCCGGGGCUCAACCCCGGAACUGCGCCCGAAACUGGCGAGCUUGAGUGCGGGAGAGGAAAGCGGAAUUCCUGGUGUAGAGGUGAAAUUCGUAGAUAUCAGGAGGAACACCGGUGGCGAAGGCGGGUCUCUGGGCCGAUACUGACGCUGAGGAGCGAAAGUGUGGGGAGCGAACAGG